CAAGCGUCUUCAUCCACUGUUUCUUUUGUUGUUGGUAUAUCUCCACAAAUUUGAGGGUGUAUUACUGGG
rnacentral:antisense_RNA from 1 species